GCAAGUCGAGCGGAAAGGCCCUUCGGGGUACUCGAGCGGCGAACGGGUGAGUAACACGUGAGCAACCUGCCCCAAGCUUUGGGAUAACCCUCGGAAACGGGGGCUAAUACCGAAUAUUACUUCUGGCCGCAUGGCUGGUGGUGGAAAGUUUUUCGGCUUGGGAUGGGCUCGCGGCCUAUCAGCUUGUUGGUGGGGUGAUGGCCUACCAAGGCGACGACGGGUAGCCGGCCUGAGAGGGCGACCGGCCACACUGGGACUGAGACACGGCCCAGACUCCUACGGGAGGCAGCAGUGGGGAAUAUUGCACAAUGGGCGGAAGCCUGAUGCAGCGACGCCGCGUGAGGGAUGACGGCCUUCGGGUUGUAAACCUCUUUCAGCAGGGACGAAGCGGAAGUGACGGUACCUGCAGAAGAAGCGCCGGCCAACUACGUGCCAGCAGCCGCGGUAAGACGUAGGGCGCGAGCGUUGUCCGGAUUUAUUGGGCGUAAAGAGCUCGUAGGCGGCUUGUCGCGUCGACCGUGAAAACUUGGGGCUCAACCCCAAGCCUGCGGUCGAUACGGGCAGGCUAGAGUUCGGUAGGGGAGACUGGAAUUCCUGGUGUAGCGGUGAAAUGCGCAGAUAUCAGGAGGAACACCGGUGGCGAAGGCGGGUCUCUGGGCCGAUACUGACGCUGAGGAGCGAAAGCGUGGGGAGCGAACAGGAUUAGAUACCCUGGUAGUCCACGCUGUAAACGUUGGGCGCUAGGUGUGGGGGGCCUCUCCGGUUCCCUGUGCCGCAGCUAACGCAUAAGCGCCCCGC
rnacentral:rRNA from 1 species